GUGCUUGCUUCGUAGCACAUAUACUAAAAUUGGAACGAUACAGAGAAGAUUAGCAUGGCCCCUGCGCA
rnacentral:snRNA from 1 species